rnacentral:rRNA from 1 species
CUACUAAGCCAUUAGGUGGAUGACUAGGUUCAGAUAUCGAAAAAGAGCGUGGCAAGCAGCGAUAUGCUCUGGGUAGGCGCAUGCAGCCAUUGAACCAGAGAUUCUUGAAUGAGACUUCUUAUCCUUCGGGAUGAUCAGUAAUGAUAGUCUACGCAGGGAAUUGAAGCGUCUUAGUACCUGCAGGAAAAGAAAUCAAUUGAGAUGCCGCAAAUUAUCAGCGAGAGAAAACGGCAAAGGGCAAACUGAAUCCUACACAGAAAUGUGCAAGGAGAUGUGGAGUUAUAGGACCUGCAUUUAGUCCUCGCAUUUUAUGCUAAAGCUUCUGGAAAGAAGUGCCGUAGAGGGUGAUAGCCCCGUAGGUGUAAUGUGCAAGAUGAGCAGGCAUCCUGAGUAAGGUUUGUUGGAAAUCAAGCCUGAAGUUAGGAGGCACUAACUUCUAACCCUAAAUAUAAAUCUGAAUCCGAUAGAGAACAAGUACCGUGAGGGAAAGUUGAAAAGAACUCGCGAAAGAGAGUUAAAAGCUCCUGAAACCUAAUGGUCACAGUAUGUUACUGCUUUACGGAGUUGUAACGUACGUUUCGAAUAACGGGCCGGGGAGUGCAUCAUAGUGGCGAGGAUAAAACUGUUAAGGUUGCAUCCGAAGGGAAACCAAUAGUUCGCAGUUUACGAGGAGCAAUGUAUGAAAAUGCGUUAAGUCACUAUGGUGUGACCCGAAACCGGGUGAUCUAACCUUGGGCAAGGUGAAGCAGGGGUAAAACCUUGUGGAGGCCUGAAGAGGUUCUGUGUGCAAGCGUUCUUCUGACUUGAGGUUAGGGGUGAAAGGCCAAUCGAACCCGGUGAUAGCUGGUUCCUACCGAAAUGGGCCGCAGUCCAGUCCCUGGGGAGAUAACUGAUGAGGUAGAGGUACGGAUUAGGGGUUUAGGUUUCGAAAGGAGUCGAUCUCUUGUCCAACUCAAAAUGCUUCAGCAUCGUAGAACUAGGGAAACGGCGUUACGGGGUAAGCUUGUAAUGCUAAAGAGGAACAACUCAAGACUGCAGUUAAGGUCCCUAAAUAUUGGUUAAGUGUUAACGGGUGAAGGAUGUUUAUUGCCUAAGACAGUGGGGAGGUAGGCUUAGAAGCAGCCACCCUUUAAAGAAAGCGUAACAGCUCACCUAUCAAGGCAGUAUGCUCCUAAAAUGGACGGGGCUAAACCAAUUACCGAUACUGCAGAUCACCUCGUAGAGGUGUAUGGUAGGUAGGUAUUCUAUAUAGGCAGAAGCUUCUACGUAAGUAGGAGUGGACUGUGUAGAAAUAAAAAUCCCGGCAGUAGUAGGAUCGAUACAGAGUGAGACUCUCUGAUACCGAAAGGGCAAGGGUUUCUUGGCCAUGUAAGUCAGCCAAGAGUUAGUUGAUCCUAACUUUAGAAUCUUAACUGAUUCAAGGGAAAGGGAAAAAGGUUAAUAUUCCUUUACCAUUUAGAUACGUGCGGCAACGCAAGCUGUAGUGCAGACGCUUUGGGCUAGACUAGCACUUACUGUCGUGAGUGUUAAUUAGAAUAAAUCUUGGGAGUAAUGUAAUGUUGAGAACAAGAUUAAGCUAAGAAUAGCAGGCUUAUGUUUGUCUAGUUGAUGCCUAGAGUCAAUGAAAAUGUGCUAUGGAAGGAUUCUGAAUGAUCAUACCAAGAACCAACACUGGUGCCCCUAGGUGAGAAGCCUAAGGUAGGAGGGAGUAAUCUAGCUAAGGGAACUCGGCAAAUUAGCCCCGUGCCUUUGGCGUAAGGGGUCCCUGCGAUUGUGUGCUUUUGUAUGCAAUUACAGGGUGCAAUUACAAGGGCGGUCCGACUGUUUAACAAAAACACAACCUCUCGCAAGUCCGUAAGGAUGUGUACGCGAGGUGACGUCUGCCCAGUGCCAGUAAUUCAAACCUCUUUUCAAGGAGGCUAAGAUCUGGUAAACGGCGGGAAUAACUAUGAUUCUCUUAAGGUAGCGAAAAGACAGUUAGUUCGUGCAAUUAAAUCUGCAACAAACUUUGAAAAGUUUGAACAAAAUAAACUGUAUUUCAUGCGUGCAAGAGUUGAGUUAUUUCUAAAGUUGGGUUAAAAAGUAUUUGUUUGCAAAAAAAUUAGUUCAUAAUCAAAGAACUAACUGUUGCGCAGUACCUUGUCGUUUUAAUGACGACGCGCAUGAAUGACGUAACGAGACCGCUACUGUCCCUAGCUAGAAUCCCCCGAAUACACUCUUCCGGUGCAAAGGCCGGAGUCCUCUAGUGGGAAGUAAAGACCCCGUGAAGCUUUACUGCAGCUUAUUGUUNNNNNNNNNNNNNNNNNNNNNNNNNNNNNNNNNNNNNNNNNNNNNNNNNNNNNNNNNNNNNGUAGGUAGUAGUCGUUUGAUGGUUCAGAUGCAAGUUUGAACCUAGACAAAGUUGAGACACUACCCUUUCAAUUCUACGUCACUAACUUUCGAAAGAAAGAACAGCGGUAUGUGGACAGUUUGGCUGGGGCGGCACCCUGCUGAAAAUGUAUCAGUAGGGCCCAAAGGUCAGCUCAGGAGGUUUAGAAAUCCUCUGUGGAGCGCAAGAGCAAAAGCUGGCUUGACUGUGUUCUGAAAAGUAAAGAACGCAGGAUGGAAACAUGGGUCUAGCGAACCCUUAUGCCCCUCUUGGUGGGGGCUAAGGAUGACAGAAAAGCUACUCCGGGGAUAACAGAGUUGUCGCGCCUAAGAGCUCAAAUCGACGGCGCGGUUUGCUACAUCGACGUCGGCUCUUCCUAACCUGGCCGUGCAGAAGCGGCCAAG